UAUGAAUCGUUUUUAAUAAACCCUUUUUAACUGGAUCUUUUUUUAACAUGGAGAACAAGGUCCGACUCAGGAAGGAAAAGAAAUGGGCUUUUAAUACAACUUCAAGUCUAAAUGGUCCAACGGGGGAAAAGACCAAACCUUUUUACUGACGUAGAGACGAAGCGCUCAACCGAUUCUCUGGCUCGGGAAACUAAACACAGCGGUUCUACAGAGCCAGGAAAAAACUGAUUCAUGCUUAAGCACAAAAACUGCACUGGUAGAAAAUAUGGUGGUGAAUCAUGCUCCUCCGAGGAAAAAUUGUGGCAGUUCCAGCUGGUACCUGAAUUAUUAAACAUUCAGUUACAUUAGGUAGAAUUUUGUUUGAAAGCUUUUGUGCAAAACGGUCGCGUGCUCUUAUGUUUGACUGUACAGCCAUCUGCCACGUCUCAGGAAUAUGUGGUUAACUCUGACAGCUCAUAAAAUGUUCAAUUUCUGCAGUUAGUUUGACAAAUGAUCUGAUUUGUCCAAUUCAUUUGUCAAACUAAUUAUUCAGCUGACCUUUCCAAACAAUCAUGGGUAAAAGCUUAGCAAUGUGUACCAGCUUUGGUAAAAAAUAAUAAUAAUAAUAAUAAAAUAAUGGAACUGCCUCCCUGGAGGAUGUUUAUUAAGAAUGUUGUUUUUAUAUAAUGUUAUUGUUUGACAAUAAAAAUCCUUUAUUUGAGACAAAGCUCUUUUAAUUACAAAAAGAAAAAAGCAUGAGGUCACCCACGCUCUGAUAAAAAUCAGAGCUAUAAUUCUUUAAAAACAAGACAAACGGAAACAAGGCUCAGUCUGCGCAAUAUGUACAAAUAUAUAUAUAUAUAUCUAUAUAUAGAUAUAUAUAUAUAUAUACAUAUACUUAUAUAUAGUACAUAGAUAGACAGACAGAUGACCUCUUAACCCUGUCAAGGGUGCACUAAGAGACUGACAUGACACUGUCAUAAACAUGAAUAAGUCUUUAUUAAUGUCUAUCACUGUUGUCAUGGAGUGUCAUUCGGUAAAUAAUGAGGUUUUUAAUGCAAAGUUGCUCUAAAACUGGCCUUGAAAGUCCAUUAAAAAUGCCAGCUUUGCAUUAAAGUGUCAAUAUUUACCGAAAGACACUCCAUGACAACAGUUAUAGACAUUCAUAAAGACUCUGUUAUGUUCAUUACAGGUGCUGUCAUGUUUAUGACAGAGUCAUACCAGUCUUAUGCACACCCCGUCAAAUAAAGUGUUUUUCACUGUGAAAUCAUUCCCACGAUAAUCAUAAAGCACUUACGUUCAAAGAUGGACACCUCUUGCUCCGACCAACGCAGAGGCAAUGUGGGAGUAAGUGCGUUGCUCAAGGACAGUGACAGUGCGGCUGAAAAAGCCAAUGACUGAGCAGGUACCACUCUAUCAGCUGCAGCCGCUCCUCAGACCACAUGGCUUCACCCACAGUCUCACUUCAGAUCCACUACAGGCUUAAAGACAGGUUGUUGAGCUGAAAAUGUGUCAUACGUAUGAUUUUUUUUUUUUGGUUUUGUUUUGUUUAGCAUUUUGCUACAAUGCAAAACAUCAAGCUCUAAGCGUAGAGCUUGAAUUUAUAGAUUUAGUUAACAGAGUGGAAACUUCAAAAGUUACAAUUUAGAUACGGACAUAUAUAUGAAUAUAGACCAAAAACCUUUUGACAAACUGAGUGAAUAUCAACAAUCUCAUCACAAAUAUAAUUAAUUCUUAACAUAAAGUAUCUUGUAUGGUAAACUGAAUAUGCAUCUGUGCUACCUCAUUUCAGCAUGUACAAAGAAAUGAUAGAAGCUGAUUAAUGUGAUCAUGUUUUCAUCUGUGAAUCCAGUUUCUCAACAUCACUGAAGCUGAUGAAACUGAUGGCAGAGCAGAAAAACUGUACAUUAAAGUUGUCCCAUAUUAAAAAGUUUAUUUUUUGAUUGACAUUUUAAAAAAUGUCAGUUAUCUACAGUGUUAGCCUAUCAUACAGUACCUCAUAUAAAGUCUGUCUUAUAUCCUAAGUUGUACUUGCAAAAAUGUACUUUGCACCAAGUUAAAUGUUGGGUAAGCAGUCUAAAUAUCAAAGUGGGUAAAAAAAAAAAAAAACACAUUACCCAAAUAUAGAAAUUUAGCAAUAACAUAACAAAUAACGAUACAAUUUCUUUCCUCUAUGUAAGUUUCAUACAUAAGAGUUUGGAGAACAAUAAAAAUGCACAUCACCCUGAAAACACACUCCACAGGAAAACCUGGUGUGACAGGUUGUCGGGAUAAUUUUCUUCAGCAAGAACAAGAAAGCUGAAGAGAGUUGAUUGGAAGCUGGUGGAGUUAAACACAAGGCAAUCACCUGUCGGAGGCUGCGGACGGAUUGAUUCACCUUUCAGCAGGACAAAAACCUAAAUGUACAGCCACAGUGACCUGAUUUAAAUCAAAGCAUAUUCAUGAGUUGGAAUUGCCAAAUUAAAGUCCAGUCCCAAAUCUCACAGAAAAUCUGAUGCACCACUAACUGGCCGUGAGCCGUUUCUUCAGUCGCUAGUUGUGCGCAGACAUAACAGGAAAAGGGGAUUCUACUGAGAAUUAAAUCAAGGGGCCUGAAUACAAAAGAAUGCCUGCUCUUCACGUUUUUUUGCGUUUGUAUUUAAUUUGGAAAAAUGGGCAUUCUUUUAAUCCCUGGAAGUAGGCGCCUCCUUUCUGCACCAUCCUCCCCCCUACGUGGAUAAAGCGUUUAUAGACAAUCGAUGGACGUUACCCAUCGUGGUAUCAGAAAGGAAACAUACGAGAACAGGACUUACCUGUCAGUUGCUUGACAAACGCACUGACAGUUGAAGUUGGCAUCGCUGUUGAGUAAAAACCCAGAGCUUGCUAUUGAGAUGUACUGAUGUGGUUUUUGUGCAGGACUUCAAUUUGUUUCAAAACAGAGGGAAGGUUGGACAGACAGAUGGACAACUAAAGGUUAAAUUACUCAUUUGUGCUGGUCUACCACACAAUGUGCAUUAACAUGGCAAAAUGUGGAAAUGUUCAGUUGGUUCGAAUGCUGCUUGAUUUUCAAAUCCUACUUUCACUGGAAAAGGGGGGGAAAAAAUAAAACUUUAGUUUGGGAAAUACUGAUGUCUUUCUUUUUGUUUCAGUUGUCUCAAUAUGGAAAAUCUGCUUGGAUUCCCGACAGAGGAACGAUGCUGACGUAUUCUAAUAAAAUUGAAGUAGUUCUAAACUUUUGCAACAAAUGAACCAAUAUAUAGCCGAUACAUAGGAUCACUGGUGCCAACAGCUUCAAAGGAAAGCCCAGUGCCAAUAAUGUACAAUAAAUUCCCAGAGCUAAAACCCCCUAAAGGGUAUUUCAACGACGUGCUGAGAAAAGAUUUUCUGUUCUGAUUUAAGUAUUUUACAGAUCCCUGG